CCCUUAGAUGUUCUGGGCCGCACGCGUGCUACACUGAGUGGAUCAGCGGGUCAGGUUGCGCGAAAGUGUUUCCUAAUCUUGAAAUCCGCUCGUGAUGGGGAUUGACGGUUGCAAUUUUCCGUCAUGAACGAGGAAUACCUUGUAAGCGCGGGUCAUCAGCCCGCGCUGAAUACGUCCCUGCCCUUUGUACACACCGCCCGUCGCUCCUACCGAUUGAGUGGUCCGGUGAGGCUUUGGGAUCUGAGCGGAAAGAGCGUUUCGCUGUUUCUGCUCGGAAAACUCAGUCGAACCUUAUCAUUUAGAGGAAGGAGAAGUCGUAACA
rnacentral:rRNA from 1 species